GGCACCUGCACUCGUUGCGGUGCAACGAUGGUCAAGGA
rfam:Synergistetes sp. SGP1 draft genome.